UCCAAUAAGUCCUCUCUCUCUCUCUCUCUCUCUACAAUCCCGAAUUUGCUCUUUUUUGAAUUUUUGUGUCAUUAGGGUUUCUUCUGUUCGUGAGAUCGCUUGAUUCUCGAAUGUUCCGUCAAUCGGUAAUGUUUCCUCCAUUGAUCUCCGGCACGGAGGCGGCGGCGCCGCAACCGCAGCCUCCGCCGCCGGUGAGCUUGACCGAGAGCUCUAGACGGCAGCAGGUGGCUGCUUCUUCGCCGGCGAAAUCUCAGCCGCUCCAUAACUUUCCUCUCUCUGAUCUCAAGUGGGCUAUGAACCACACCAAUACCCACCGGCUUCGCAAACCCUCCGGCAAAUCCCCACUGCGCGAUGCCGGGAAUCCGGUGGUCGAGGAGAGAAAUGAUGGAGUCUCUAGUUCAUCUUCUGAUUCGAAACUGGGGAAGAAUAAGGGAACCGCCGACGGUGUGUCUGAUCUCGCUGCAGAUCGUUCUGAGAAGAAGUCAACGGUGGCGGAUGUUAGAUCCAAGAUCCUGAUCCGAAUUCGGCCAAAGGGCAGCGAUGACGCCGCCGCCACAUCCACAGCCGCCGAGAUCGAUGAGGACGUAUUUGUUGGUGAUCGGGGCUCCGAUGGCUGUCAGGAAACAGAGGAAUUUGCUCCAAAGACGUGGAAUCUGAGGCCAAGGAAACCACCCCCGAAAAAGCGUCCGAUUGGAAUUGGCGGCGGGAUGCUGAAGAGCUGCAGCGGUUCUGCGCAGGAGAACAAGGCUCAGGGAACGAUUCGGCCUGAGUCAACUCGCUCUAGGAACAACGCGGAUGCGAAGUUCGCAACGGAGAGAAAGGAGAAGAAGCGGAAAUUAGCGAUCUCGCUCUCAAAGACGGAGAUCGAAGAGGAUAUCUUCGCAUUGACUGGAUCAAAACCUAGCAGGAGACCAAAGAAGAGAGUCAAGAAUGUGCAGAAGCAGCUCGAUGUUCUCUUCCCGGGUUUGUGGAUGGGUAAUGUCACUCCUGACGCGUACAAGGUCUCAGAUCAUGCCUGAAAGGUGUAACAUUUGGUUGAUUUCUGUUACGCUUUGCAAUACUUUCCUGAUUUCCUGAUUCUAUAUCUGUUGUAAAUGUUGUGAUGAGAAAAGAGGUGUCCUCUUUCCUAUUCUGAUGUGAGGUUAAUCCGAUUGAAUCGGGCGAAAAUCAGAGAGGGGCAUCACAGAGGCUCUCCACUGAUUAAGCAUGCAGCAGAAAUGCAUGUGGCUUGAUACAUUAUUUACCCCCCUUGCUGAUGCUGAUUUCGCUUUCGAGAAGUCCCAGCUUCACCCGAAAGGGUCAUCAGAUCAAGCCAUAGAUGUAUGUGAUGAGCCGAGAAGAUGAACUCGUGUUGCAGCUCAGAGGUAAACCCUUCUGGCUUAAAGACAGCUUCAAUCCGAUCCAUUGCCAUCCUCUUCCCUUGCCCUUGGAAAGUUUCCAACUUCAAUGAAAUGGGGUUUCCUCAGUUGAAGAGAGAAGGAAUACGAAGGGAGGAAACAAAAAGAAUUUCGAUUUUCUAUGACAAAAUCUGGUGAAUCAUCUCUAAUGGGGUUUCCUCCUCAGUUUGAAGAGCCAUCGUUCUUCUUCUCCUAAUCCAGAAGUUGGUUCAUAUUUGGUUAUUGUUGUUUUUGGGUGGGGAAUUUUCUGAUCUCUGCAUAUGUUUUUGUCAAUAACUAAUUAGAUUUCAUGCAAAUCUAACAGGGAAAUUUGUAGGAAUCUGUCUAAACGUUCGUA